CCUACGGGUGGCAGCAGUGAGGAAUAUUGGUCAAUGCGCGCGAGCCUGAACCAGCCAAGUAGCGUGAAGGAUGACUGCCCUACGGGUUGUAAACUUCUUUUAUAGAGGAAUAAAGUGAGGCAAGUGUGCCUUUUUGUAUGUACUUUAUCAAUAAGGAUCGGCUAACUCCGUGCCAGCAGCCGCGGUAAUACGGAGGAUACGAGCGUUAUCCGGAGUUAUUGGGUUUAAAGGGAGCGUAGAUGGGUUGUUAAGUCAGUUGUGAAAGUUUGCGGCUCAACCGUAAAAUUGCAAUUGAUACUGGCAGUCUUGAGUACAGUUGAGGUAGGCGGAAUUCGUGGUGUAGCGGUGAAAUGCGUAGAUAUCACGAAGAACUCCGAUUGCGAAGGCAGCUUACUAAACUGACACUGACAUUGAUGCUCGAAAGUGUGGGUAGCAAACAGGAUUAGAUACCCCUGUAGUC
rnacentral:rRNA from 1 species